rnacentral:rRNA from 1 species
AGAGGAAGUAAAAGUCGUAACAAGGUUUCCGUAGGUGAACCUGCGGAAGGAUCAUUAUCGAGUUUUUGAACAGGUUGUAGCUGGUCUUCCACGAGACAUGUGCACGCCUGGCUCAUUCCACUCAUUAACCUUUGUGCACCUCAUGUAAGAAACGGUUGAAGGGUCAGCUCAGCUUUGCUUAGUUGAUCAAGAAGCCUUUCUUAUGUUUUAUUACAAACGUUUCAGUUAUAGAAUGUUUACUGUGUAUAACACAUUUAUAUACAACUUUCAGCAACGGAUCUCUUGGCUCUCGCAUCGAUGAAGAACGCAGCGAAAUGCGAUAAGUAAUGUGAAUUGCAGAAUUCAGUGAAUCAUCGAAUCUUUGAACGCACCUUGCGCUCCUUGGUAUUCCGAGGAGCAUGCCUGUUUGAGUGUCAUGGAAUUCUCAACCCCCAAAUUUUGUUAACUCAGAGUCUGGUGGGCUUGGACAUGGAGGUUUAAGUGUUGGCUCUAGCUCAGUCGACUCCUCUGAAAUGCAUUAGCGUGAAUCUUUACGGAUCACUUCAGUGAUGAUAAUUAUCUGCACUGUGGUGUUGAAGUAUUUUAUUUGAGUUCAUGCUUACAAUCGUCUCUAACGGGACAAUCUUUGACAAUCUGGCCUCAAAUCAGGUAGGACUACCCGCUGAACUUAAGCAUAU